UCCUCGAUGUGGCAAAGGAUAUUCCAAGCAAAAUUCUUUUUAUUAUCACGUGAAAAAGUUUUGUGGGAUUCCCCCGUCGUAUUUUUGUCCGGUACCGAAAUGUCCCUUUCGAAGCCAUUUGAAAUGCAAUCUGAAGAAACAUAUCAUCAAUGUGCAUAGAAUAGCAAAAUAAAAUCACAAAAAACAGCAUUAUGGGUAUACAGUAUAGUAUAUUCCCGGAUUACAAGAGGGGAUCAGUACAGAUGUCCUCGAUGUGGCAAAGAAUAUUCCAAACGAAAUUCUUUUUAUUAUCACGUGAAAAAGUUUUGUGGGAUUCCCCCGUCGUAUAUUUGUCCAGUGCCAAAAUGUUCUUAUAGAAGUCACUUGAAAUGCAAUCUUAACAAACAUAUCUUCAAUAUGCAUAAAAUAGUAAAAUAAAAUCACAAAAAAAACGAGUCAAAAUUGUGUAG